ensembl:lncRNA
CUUCAGUAUUAAUAUCUUACAGGGUUCUGGACUGUCAUCAUUCACUGACUUCACCUUGUCGUGCUAAGGCCCAAGGCAAACAGAUGAGCAGAGAAACCCUGGUGGAAGGAAUCUGCUCCUUGGGCCUUGGAGUCUGCUUGUCUGUCCAGCUUCUCCCUCGGUGCCCACAGCGUGCUUGCCUCUUCAGUGUCAACACCAGGGGGUUUGGAGGAAGAACCUACAGAGUGUUUUUGAUGAUGCUCCUCACCUUAUUUUGUGACUUCACUUUCUGAAGAGAAAGCUCUGGCUUUUGAGGAAUCCACUUGUAGACUGGGCAAGUAAUUUCAGUCAUCAUUUUACUCUUGGUUUGAACUACCUUCU